AUGGCAUCCGAGGGGCCUGCUGUCCGCUCCUUCCUGGAGCAAACCAGCUCAGAGCUCCUCACCCUGAUGGACAUGGCGCGGUGGUGGAAGGGAUGUGUGCUGGUGGUGGAAGUGGACGAUGACAACAUGAGAACUCCUUCAGUGCUGGCAGAUUUUGCACAGGACCUGUGUGGCACAGGUGACUGGGCUAAACAGCUGGUGAAGACGGAAGAAGAGGAGGUUCAGCCACGUCUGGUUUUUAUGCUGUGGCAAGCCAAUCUGUUGAAGCAGCUCAUGCGGUGGGAUUACCUGGAUGACACCCUCUGGCAUAUGAGGAACCUCCUCCCCAACCUGCCAGAGGUGCUGGUGCUGGUGAUGAUCCGACCAGACCCCCAGGAGCAGCUGGGCCAAGCACUGCGAGCCCUUAGGAGAAUGCAGUGUUUGCUGUAUGGGGCCUGGCAACUGGUGGUGGAAGCAGCGGUCUACAGCCCGGGCCAGCCUGAUGGUAUCCUGGAGACAAAGAGAGCUGCGUGUAGAGCACUGAGAGAAGUCUUAAAUUGCCAUGAAGAUACUGUAUCCACCUGAGAUCUUAACUAUCACCAAAAGAAGUAUUAGAAAUCUGGUAUUUGUUUCUUUUCACUAUGUGUACCAGUAAACUUUAAAGUUGUAUAUCAAAGACUAUGAAACUCCUACUGAAGCUACCAGGUUUGUGCAAUACAGUAUGGGAGAAGUGGGAUUUGAGGGUGGUACAGAGCCUCUGAACCAACCUUUCUCAGGGAAAGGAUCCUCCAGGUUAUUCUUCAAAUGUGGGUUCUUUCCAUGUCCUUAGGGACAGUGUGGCUUUACAAAGCAAAACUUUGCUGUAGGUGUUUGAGUGGUGCUGGUGCUUGGCAGCUUCUUGGAUAAGGUGCUGGUUGUGUGAAAAAACCUGCUUAAAAGUAUGGGGGAAAAAUUACCUUGUCCAGUGGUCUAAAUGUAACACACUUAACAGUUGCUCUGUUGUGGAAGAGACUUUCCAUGAGCAACUGGGCAUCUUAAGAUAAAUUCCCACUUUUGUUAGAGAGGACACUUUUUUGGGUGUGAUCAAGCUAAUGCAGAAAUAGUUCCCUUGAACCAAUGCAAGAUGUGUUACAGUUCAGGCUGUCUGUGAGUACAGAAAGUUUGGCUUUAAGAGACUCCUGAUCAGCACAUUAAGAUAUCCUUAAAACAAGUAGCCAUGAUGAGGUCCUGUGCUUCUAUCACUUCCUGUAGCACCUGCAGUUAACCAUCCCCAUCCAGGCACAGUCCAUGCUGCUCUCAAGUUUCUUUGGCAGCACGUUUGUGCUGUGUCCAGGCAUUUCUGUGUGGGGUGAUGUGCCGCACUGCCAAGUGCUGCUGGUGGAAGGGGAAGCUCUCCGAGGCAUUUGGCUGAGAUCCUGGCCAGGACUUGGGAGCACAGGGAUGCCCUGCAGGGACAAGUGAUGUAGCCGCAGGGAUGUGUGUCUGGGAUGGGGAGGAGUGUGGUCACCCCAACAGCCCAGGAGGCAGAAUGCCCUGGCUGCUCUCAAGCUGCAUCCAUGCUUUGUUCUCCAGCUAAUCCUGGGUG
rnacentral:lncRNA from 1 species